UACGUAGGGUGCAAGCGUUAUCCGGAAUUAUUGGGCGUAAAGAGCUCGUAGGCGGUUUGUCGCGUCUGCUGUGAAAACUGGGGGCUCAACCCCCAGCCUGCAGUGGGUACGGGCAGACUAGAGUGCGGUAGGGGAGAUUGGAAUUCCUGGUGUAGCGGUGGAAUGCGCAGAUAUCAGGAGGAACACCGAUGGCGAAGGCAGAGUCUCUGG
rnacentral:rRNA from 1 species